UACGAAGGGGGCUAGCGUUGCUCGGAAUCACUGGGCGUAAAGCGCACGUAGGCGGCUUUUUAAGUCAGAGGUGAAAUCCUGGAGCUCAACUCCAGAACUGCCUUUGAUACUGGAGUGCUUGAGUCCGGGAGAGGUGAGUGGAACUGCGAGUGUAGAGGUGAAAUUCGUAGAUAUUCGCAAGAACACCAGUGGCGAAGGCGGACUCACUGGCCCGGUACUGACGCUGAGGUGCGAAAGCGUGGGGAG
rnacentral:rRNA from 1 species